rnacentral:rRNA from 1 species
GACGAACGCUGGCGGCGCGCUUAACACAUGCAAGUCGAGCGAAGCGGCGGACGGGUGAGUAACACGUGAGUAACCUGCCUUAGACAUUGGGAUAGCCUCGGGAAACCGGGAUUAAUACCAAAUGGUCUAAGAUGGACUCGCGUCCCAUUAUCUAGUUGGUGAGGUAACGGCCCACCAAGGCGACGAGGGGUAGCCGGCCGGAGAUGGUGAACGGGCACAUUGGAACUGAGAAACGGGACAAACUCUACGGGAGGCAGCAGUGGGGAAUAUUGCACAAUGGAGGGAACUCUGAUGCAUCGACGCCGCGUGAACGAAGAAGGCGUUCGAGUCGUAAAGUUCUUUUAUAUGGGAAGCGGUACCAUAAGAAAAAGCCCCGGCUAACUACGUGCCAGCAGCCGCGGUAAUAC